rnacentral:snRNA from 1 species
UGAUCAUAAAACACAUUCAUGAUA